CCAGGCCCGACCCUAAAUCUGGGAGACGAGCCCCAGCCACAGGAGUCCCAGGUGUUCCCAUUCUGUGAUCAGCACAGAACACACACACCUCACCAUGGAGUUUGUGCUGGGCUGGGUGUUCCUGGUUGCUCUUUUAAAAGGUGUCCAGUGUGAUGUGCAGCUGGUGGAGUCUGGGGGAGACCUGGUGAAGCCUGGGGGGUCCCUGAGACUCACCUGUGUGGCCUCUGGAUUCACCUUCAGUAGCUACUACAUGAGCUGGGUCCGCCAGGCUCCCGGGAAGGGGCUGCAGUGGGUCGCAGGAAUUAGUGGUAGUGGAGGUAGCACAGGCUACACAGACUCCGUGAAGGGCCGAUUCACUAUCUCCAGAGACAACGCCAAGAACACGCUGUAUCUGCAGAUGAACAGCCUGAAGACCGAGGACACGGCCACAUAUUACUGUGCAAGAGACACGGUGAAGGGACCUCACUGGGAACCCACACACAAACCUCCCUGCAGGAGGGGAUCAGCACCACCAGGGGGCGCACACUAUGCACAAUUCUCCUUUGUGUUCCCAGGAGCUGGUGCAGAUGGAGGUUACAGGCAGGUUUCCUGUCAGGGUCUGGGGCUUCCUCUCCACACAGCAGUUUCCCCAGGGAGCCUCCCUGGUUAUAUGCUUCUAUGUUUACCUAUUAACUCUCUGAAUUAGCAACUGGGUUGUCAUAGGGAAACUAUACUAACAUG